ACAAAUAAAAACUAAAACUCGAUUAUUCGAUUCUGUAUAAAAAGUUUGUUGUUGUUGGAAAGCUUCUGGACAGCGAUGUUAGAGCAAACAAGUUUUUAAAAUUCGCUACGUUUUUAUCAAUUCCGCAUCCGUUUUUAAGACAAAUCAUCAUAAAUGUCUUUCAAAAGGGAUUUGUUGCAUUCAGGUGAUCGAAUCACAUAAUCAGCAUUUAUCACCGGAAGAUCACCGGAUUGUUGCCUGAAAAAUGAUUUACAACAGCGGCACUGAUGUUUUACCGUUAAGCCUAUUCCGGAAAGUUGAACGAAUGCAUCGGGAGGUCCGAGGUUUACCUAAAAUUUGCGAACACCUAUUGCCAAAAUUUUUAUUGUCUUUUAAGAGCAAGACGGCAUAAUUUACUCUGAACAAAAUAAAUGCUCUUAAGGACGAGAGACUAUUCCUGUCGUUUUCCUUCUAAGCCUCUAUCGGACAGGAUGUGGUCCUCGUAAUUCAGCGGAUGAUAUUCCGCAAACAAAAACCUUUAUAUUUGUUCUUCGAAUAUUGUACCACAAGUACAUCACAAUGAGCAGGAACGUGACCGCUACCACCGAAGAACUCGUCAAAGGAUAUGAGGGAAAAUCGCUUCAAAAAUCUAACUAUGCGGAAGACAGUAAGAUGGAGCUUAAAACAAAAAGAUUCAUUUAUUCACCAUCAUAAUGGAACAGGUACACCCAUCCCAAAUCACUUCAGGGGGCCAGUCCAGAGUGAUGCCUGUAGAACCUGCUGAAUGCCAUUAGACUCCAUUAGACUCUGCCGGCUUGAGGGUGCUACUCCUGUUUAGCUAGCAGUCGUUCCGCCAUGAACAGCUCAUCGGAAAUGUACAAAAGAUACGCUACACACCCAGGUGGCUGGAUCGUAUGGAAGAAAAUUCGAACCGGAUGCUCCGCUACGUACGGCCCAAGUUGUCAUGAACAGCAGAAAUCGGCAUCCGAAAACAUGCAACUUGGUGACGGAAAACAUUUCACGAGACGCUUCCAUGCAAUAUCA